rnacentral:tRNA from 1 species
AAGUUAAGAGAUUCAAGGAAAAGCUUCUAACUUUGCCCUUAAGCGAGCCACCGUUUUUAACUUU